rnacentral:piRNA from 1 species
UUCCAGAGAAGUAGAAUGGUGUAUAUCAA